GCUGUGGCCCAGUGUUAGGGCAUCUGCUUUGUACACAGAAAAUCCCUAGUUCAAUCCCCAGCAUCUCCA